ACAGGGAUGACGUUCUCCAAGUCGAACUCGGUAUUCGCCAUGUCAAUCUUGAUCUUGAAUCUGUCCCACCGGGCAUGCCAAAAGAUGUUUUGGUGCAAAACUGAUCUGCAAACACAAAGGGCUAAUACCCGAUUUAAACGUUAAGGCGUGCUAACCGAUUUGACCUUUCAAUCGACAAAGGUGGUAACUCGACCACUUUGGUCCUGACAACAGCGAUGUGCCCGGAUGUCAUGGCCAAGAGGUGAUCACGCAGAACUUGAGAACGCACUAAGCUUAAGUCAACGGAUUCCUAAGAAGUCGUAAUAAAAAGAAAAUAUGACGAAGUCGUCGAAAGAGUAGAUGUUGGAAUAUGAGUAAAAACUUGCGUUUGAUUGAUUGGUAGAUUGUCUCAUUACAUUGCCCUAGGGUCUAUAUUUAUACCCUGUCUGAAGAGCUACAACCAGACACGACUAGAACUCGAAUUCCAAACUAGACGGAACCGGUACGCAGAACGAAUUUUAAUAACUAAGGAAAACAUAAAACUACCCCCUUGUAACCGACCGGGGCACCGCCAUAGAUCAAUCGGCAAUCUCCACGCUUUUCUCCGGAGUCAUCGGCAGACUUCCUGUUGUGGCCAUCGGCAAACACUAACACUGAUCAUCAGCACGAACACGUCACCACCUCUAGACUUGGUCAGAUUCAACUAUCUCCUCAUCGGCAACCACCUUCAUCGGCAAUUUUCCUGUAGACUAGUUACCGUUGCUUCAUCUACCGAUCUAUACUUUACUAAUCCCUAGGUACGUGUCCAAAAACGGUGUCAACAGUUAAUCAGGUUCAUAUAAUCUUGAAAAUAAAAUAAAAAUAUCAAAAACAGUAAGCCCCACGUGAGUAUGCUCAUGGCAUAAAACCCAUAAGUACAUUCACUGUGGUGGGGUAAAAAUAAAAUAAAUAUAUUCCUAUCCUAUAAAAAUGAAAAUAUAAAAAUAAAUUUAUGAUCCUACCAAAGAGUGUAACAUUUAUUGAGGAGGCUCCAAAUGAUAUAGGCUAGAUAUUUAUGCUAACACUUAACUAGUUCCACAAAGCUUUGUUGUCUAUUUGAGCUCCACAGAAUUCAAGGAUCAAAGAAGACUAGCAGACGGAGGACAUCCUAAUCCCUGUCAAGGUGCUGCCGACAUUCAAAUACACCUCCGCCACCUCCUAGCUACAUCAGGAGAAAUUACGUAAAAAUCCAGCUUCGAGGAGAGCACCCCCUUUAUCCAGCUAAGUAUUCUACUCAUGUUUAUAUUUUACUCAAAUAAUAAAAAGAUGCAUAAUCAUAAAAACC
rnacentral:lncRNA from 1 species